ensembl:snRNA U6 U6 spliceosomal RNA
GUGCUCACUUCGGCAGCACAUAUACAGAGAACAAUACAGAGAAGAUUAACAUGGCCCCAACGCAAGGAUGACACACAAAUUCGUGAAGCGUUCCAUAUUUUA